rnacentral:rRNA from 1 species
AGUUUGAUCAUGGCUCAGAACGUACGCUGGCGGCACGCCUAACACAUGCAAGUCGAACGAAGUAGCAAUACUUAGUGGCAGACGGGUGAGUAACAUGUAGGUAUCUACCCUUUGGCCUGGAAUAACACGAGGAAACUUGUGCUAAUACCGGAUAAGUCUUUACGGAGAAAGCUUUAUGCACCAUUGGAUGAGCCUGCACUUGAUUAGUUUGUUGGUAGGGUAAUGGCCUACCAAGACUAUGAUCAAUAGCUGAUUUGAGAGGAUGAUCAGCCACAUUGGGACUGAGACACGGCCCAAACUCCUACGGGAGGCAGCAGUGGGGAAUCUUGCACAAUGGAGGAAACUCUGAUGCAGCGAUGCCGCGUGAGUGAAGAAGGCCCUUGGGUUGUAAAGCUCUUUCGUCGGGGAAGAAAAUGACUGUACCCGAAUAAGAAGGUCCGGCUAACUUCGUGCCAGCAGCCGCGGUAAUACGAAGGGACCUAGCGUAGUUCGGAAUUACUGGGCUUAAAGAGUUCGUAGGUGGUUGAAAAAGUUGGUGGUGAAAUCCCAGAGCUUAACUCUGGAACUGCCAUCAAAACUUUUCAGCUAGAGUAUGAUAGAGGAAAGCAGAAUUUCUAGUGUAGAGGUGAAAUUCGUAGAUAUUAGAAAGAAUACCAAUUGCGAAGGCAGCUUUCUGGAUCAUUACUGACACUGAGGAACGAAAGCAUGGGUAGCGAAGAGGAUUAGAUACCCUCGUAGUCCAUGCCGUAAACGAUGUGUGUUAGACGUUGGAAAUUU